rnacentral:rRNA from 1 species
AGUCGAACGGGAAAUAUUUUAUUGAUACUUCGGUGGAUUUAAUUUAUUUCUAGUGGCGGACGGGUGAGUAACGCGUGGGUAACCUGCCUUAUACCGGGGGAUAACAGCCAGAAAUGGCUGCUAAUACCGCAUAAGCGCACAGAACCGCAUGGUUCCGUGUGAAAAACUCCGGUGGUAUAAGAUGGACCCGCGUUGGAUUAGCUAGUUGGCAGGGCAGCGGCCUACCAAGGCGACGAUCCAUAGCCGGCCUGAGAGGGUGAACGGCCACAUUGGGACUGAGACACGGCCCAGACUCCUACGGGAGGCAGCAGUGGGGAAUAUUGCACAAUGGGGGAAACCCUGAUGCAGCGACGCCGCGUGAAGGAAGAAGUAUCUCGGUAUGUAAACUUCUAUCAGCAGGGAAGAUAAUGACGGUACCUGACUAAGAAGCCCCGGCUAACUACGUGCCAGCAGCCGCGGUAAUACGUAGGGGGCAAGCGUUAUCCGGAUUUACUGGGUGUAAAGGGAGCGUAGACGGCGCAGCAAGUCUGAUGUGAAAGGCAGGGGCUUAACCCCUGGACUGCAUUGGAAACUGCUGUGCUUGAGUGCCGGAGGGGUAAGCGGAAUUCCUAGUGUAGCGG